AAUUUUUUCACAUUCGUGUUACCAUAGUACCAGUAGUACAUUAUCCAUUGAUUGACGCCAUUGUAGGGGCAGUAACGAAGCUCAAUUAGACCUCACAGAGACGAUGGUGGUCGGAGGAGCUGUAGCAGAUUGCCUCUCUAAAUGUGGAAGUUCGUUCGCUGCUAGGUCUUCUUCAUCAUCAUUUUGUGGAAUUGGUUUGAGGCUGAAUCUGAAUUCGAAUAUAAAUAGGACAAUUAGACCUCGCCAAGCUUUUGUUGGAUUGUGUGUUGCUAGUUUGAUUACGGAUUCCGAUUCGUUCGAAGUUGGGAGGCUUAUCGGUAGCUAUGGCUUCAUGAACGUCACAAGUUACUCGGGGCUUCAAUCCGGAAUGGCGAUGGAUUAUGCAGUAUCAGAAGAUAUAGGGAACUUUAAAGUACAAGAUAUUGGAGAAGGAAGUGUCAAGAUCAGGCUUUAUGAAGGAAGAGUGGCCCAAGGUCCACUUAGAGGAACUCGGGUUAUUUUUAAGGUAUAUCCUGGACAACAAGUUGGUGGAACUGAGGCUGACAUGAUGGCUGCGAAUGAGCUGAAUGCUCAUGCUUCCCUUCAAAGCAACCCCAAAGAUAUCUGCCCACAUAUUCAAGCACUUCUAGGAGGAUUUGAAACAAAAACAGGGGAGCAGUGGCUUGCUUUUAGGGAUAUUGGAAAAUAUAGUGCUGCAGAUUAUGCUAAAAUUACUAGUGAAAAUAUGUCAAAAAUGAUUGGUGGGGGAGAACAAAGAUUGUGGAACCCGUUUGAGCUGGAUCUGACCAUAAAACGCAGAAGGUAUUUCGUUGUUAGGCUACUUCACGGCACUAUGAGAGGUCUGUCUUAUAUGCAUGACAAUGACAGAUUACACCAAAGUCUUGGUCCUGCAUCUGUUGUCCUAAAUACAGUUGUUGAGAAAGAUGCUGCAUAUCUAAUUCCUCGGCUCCGGGAUCUCGCCUUUUCUGUUGACGUAAGGUAUUCUCAACUUGAAGAUCGUCCUAAUAUCUUGUCAGAAGGACUUUGGAGACGGGCAUCUGUAGCUGGAGCGUCUAGUCCUUUGGAAAGAAGAGCUUUUGGAAUAGCAGAUGAUAUAUAUGAAGCUGGACUGCUUUUUGCUUAUUUAGCCUUUGUUCCAUUUUGUGAAGCAGGAGUCAUGGACAGCAUAUCAUUGCGGAGGCUCCUGGAAAAUACUUUUCAACUUGAUCUUCAAGCUGCAAGGGAGUAAGAGACCUCACUUUGAAUGCAUGAUUUGAAAAAAAACUAAAAUGACCAGAAGUUGGACAGGCUUAAGAUAUUGUUCUGCUGAUGAUCGCCUGCUAGAAGCUGUCAAGUUUCUUGAUCUAGGAGAUGGUGCUGGCUGGGAGUUACUACAGGCAAUGCUAAAUCGUGACUACCGUGGGAGGCCAAUCGCGGAAGCUGUAGUAAACCAUCGAUUCUUGAGUGGUACUUUCGUGUGAGAUCACAUAGAAUUUGAAUUGUACAUAACAUUUGUGUGCUGCUGAUCCAUAUGGAGAUGAGAACCCACAGCACCAAACUACACCAGUUAUCAACCAUGUAUGUUUAACUCUCGAGAUAUUCUAAUGAUCAUAUAAAUUGAGACUAACAAUGUGGUUUUUACUUGAAUAAUGAGGAAGAGGUUGAAUCCAAAUGUUGGAUGUUGGUUGGACUAAGUUGAAACAAUUGGUGCUUGAGUAAUUAAAAGAGUAAUGUCUGUGUUUUGGCAAACAAUAGAAAACUCCUUUGUUAUUGUCACGACAUAUUGGAAAAUAUAUCUUAUUUGC